rnacentral:lncRNA from 1 species
AUGACGUGCAGAAGAGUCCUUGUCGCACCCCAGGCGGGAGUGAUGCAGGCGAAAAACACACCUGAUUCCUUUGGGUCUCCAUGGCAGCAGGGCCAGAUAAUGACGCUCCAUCAGCAGGAAGAGGCUGAUCCUGUGACAGAGGGUGUUUUCAAGGUCAUAUCGCCUAGGAGCCUCUGCCUGGAUGGAAGACGAAUCCGGUAUCUAAGCUUCUCCCUUAAAGCUGUCAGUGAAGCCACUGCCAACUGGAGUGCUUCCGAGUUCCUCCUAAACUCCUGCAUAUGUGUAGUUAAGUCACUUGAAAAGAAAAUAUAAAUGGUCCAAACUCAUCAGUCCACUGUAACUGUACAUGGAGUAUUCAGUUUGCCAUUAAAUUAUGAUUAUCUUGAUUGUUCCCUAAUGUCUUUUUUCUGUCCCAGGUGUGAUUGCUGUUUAUCUUGAAUCUCGCCAGAUAGUAUGGCAAGAACUGUAAAACCCCACACCCAAAAGGCUGAAAGGACCUAAAGCCCAGUUAGAGAAAGAAUUUGAAUAUUAGUUGAUUAACAAACAUACAGGUCCAGAGAGGGGUUGGGUCAUGCAACGCCCCCCUACAUACACACAAACAAACUAUGAGCCCACAGUAUUCCAAGGACACGUUAAAACUUAAAUGACAUAUAGGAACUUGAUACAGUUCAUUCUUAAAGCCAAGGAAAUAAGGUCAUGCAUAACUAAAGACCAACAGCAAGAUAUUGCCUAAACCAUCCUUCAUUUAAACCACCUUGAGCAGGUUCUCUUGCAAGUGGAAGAGAAAGCAGAGAAAGAGAGAGAGGAACCACCAUUGCAAUGAUUUCCAAACAGGUAGAAUCAAAAGGUUGAAAUUUUCAACCAAGAGUUUUCUGUCAUUACAACAGGAGCCUCUCUUAUCUAGGACGGGAUUCCUACCGCGUGGCUGCAGUGUGAUAAAGAAGAAUCAGCUAUCAGUUUCUCACAUUAUCAUACUUCACACAUAGGCACAGUUGUCAUAACCAAUGAACCAAUAUAGAUACACUGUUUUCUUGAUUGUCCCCUA